GUGAAAAAAUCUCACUGGGAAUAUUUUUUGGUGCUUGGCAGCUUAAGGCUUGAUGUUGUUGUUGUUGGCGGCUUAAGUGAUGGAGUUUAGUUUGGUGAUAAGCAAUAUUUUCUUUCCCCCUUGUUUUCUUUAUUCUCUCCUUCAAUCAUAUGAAUUAUAAGCCACUAAAGGUUUGAGCUUUCUACAUCCGUUUGGUCAUCCUAUGUUGGGAGUUUCAUAUCCAAUUUGGUUUGCCACUUAUUAUCUUUCUACCGAAUGCAGCAUUUUUUUUUUUAAUUAUUAUUUUUGUGGUAUGCCACUCAAGCAGUGGAGUCUGAUUUGGCAAUAGGCUCUCUUUUCCUCCCUUUUUAUGUUACUUCCUUUUCCUCUACUACAAUCAAAAGAAUUUGAAGGAUAAUUUUUUCUUGUUUUAAUGCCUUUCUAAUAGGGUGUGUGAAUGCUUUUCCUAGGAGAGUUACAAGUUCUAGUAUUUAUAAAAAUAAAAAAAGUUCUAGUCUUCUGAAUGAUGUUUUGAAACUUCUAUUGUAAUUUUUGUUCCUUGCUGUCUCAUUUUAUUUUUGGUCAUUUUGUGUUGGCAACCUCAGUAAUGAUAUCCAGUUUAAGCCAGUGAUGUCUCUUAUUGGUGUGGAGCAGUAAUAUAGCCAUGUGUAAUCUGAAUUUGGUUGUAGCAGUAAAACGAUACAGGUUUUGCUUUCUCUUCUCUUUGCAGUAGUUGGACUUUUUGGGAAUUACAAGGAAUUCACUUUAUAUUUCUUGAUUUGCAUCAUAAUUUGUUAAGUUGGAUUGUUGUUGAUUCUUUUCCGUGUCACCAAAUAUCUGGCAACAGGGAAGAGCUAGGCUUUCAGUGUUAUAAGUAUUUAUCUUUAUAUUUGUUGGAUUAUUUUUAUACCGAAAUAUAGUAGUUCAUUUUAUUCGUUGUUUUGAAGUUCUUAGUGCAUGUUAAAAAUCUAUUCCUUAUAAAUCUACAGGAACCGGUAUUUUCUUUUUGGGUACUUAGCAGAAGUGGUUGAGUUUGAUAUAGUGAUAAGCUCUCUUUUUGUCCCACUUUCAUCUGUCUCUUGUCAUAAGAAUUAUACAAUUUUUGGCUCUUUUAAUUCUUUAUAAUAUUGGGGCCUGCUUCUGUUAGGCUUAGCUUUUUUGGGCAGCCAUAAAUUCAAUGUCCCACCUGGUGAGGGUUUGAAAUUUCCCUAGCAAUUAUAUUUCCUCUGUCCUGUCUUGUUUAAUUUUUUUCUCAUUCAAUCUGAAGAUGGUAAUGCCUCUUAUUGUUGUGGGGCAGGAAAAUUAACAAAGUUUGUAACCGAUGUUUGCCAGGGAAAAAUAAUUCAGGCUUUUGCUUUAUCCUGUUAUGAUUUGCAUGUGUUGGGCUUUGUAGGAAUGACAUGGAUCAAAUUUAUGUCUCUAGAAUUGCAUUAUAUCUUGUAACCUUAGAUUGUUGCUGACUGCUUUCCUUGUCGUAGAAAGUGAGUGGGCAGAUACUGUCAAUAUCAAAUCAGGUUCAUUUUCAGUCUGAAGUUUUUGUUAUUUCUGGUCUCAUAUUUGAGCACUGAUUGACAUGUUUCUUUAUAAGCUGUAGAUGUCCAUCUUGUUGUUUUGUGUGGACAAUGUUGAUUAUUUUAAUCUUGAUCUAUCUACAUCAGGGGAAAUUGAGUUGGACUUUCUUGUACUUAAGCAGCUGAGGUUGUAUAAAAGUCUUUACUUUUUUUUUGAACUUGGCUGCGUGUUGACUGCAACAAUAAGAAAGAUCUUUUUUUUUUUUUUUUUUUUUGGGUUCUUGAAUUUCACAUUUUGCUUAUAUGUCCUUAGUAUAGUGUUCCCACUAACAUGAUACUAUACUAUUCCUGGUUCAAUUUACUUAUAGGUUUUGGUCCUCGACAGCCCUGUGAAGGCAUUUGUUUCUGUGAAGUUGGCUUUUCUAGAUCGAUUUGGUUCUUGUCUGUUGGAGCACAUUCCCUUAUUGUUGGCUGGCUGGUAAUGAUAAGUUUAAAAAUUCAAUUAACAUUGUAAACGAAAAUUGUUGCUUGCAUUGUGUGUUUUUCAGGCUUCAUUUGUUUGGUUUUAACUAAUUACAGAACUACUUAGCAUUUUUUUCCUGGUUCCUUUCUCUAUUGCUGUCUACUUGCACUUCUUACUACUUUUAAGAACCUAAGGUCUUCAAUAUCAUCAUUGGGCAGUCGUAUAAGAUAAAAGCAGCCAGCUUCAAACAUGGUUGUUUUGAACGUCAUCAAUUCUAGUCGUUUUUGCAACUUUUGCAAUUUUGGGUCCAGGUGAAAAAUUCUCACUGGAUUUUUUUUGGUGCCAGGCACCUCAAGCAGUAGAGUUUGGUUUGGCGAUGAGCUUCCUUUUUCCUCCCUUGUUUUCUUUAUUCUAUGCUACAAUCAAAUGAAUUAUAAGGAUAUUUUUCCAAUUGUUCUAAUUCCUUCUAAUGCUUGGGACAUGUAUGCAUUUCUUAGGAUUUGGUUUCCUUGAGGAUUAUAAAUUCCAGUCACACUCAAUGAGGGUUUGAAACUUUCAUUGGAAUUCUUGUCCCCUUGUCCUGCUGACUCAUUCGAUUUUGAGUCAUUAUGUUUUGGCAAGCUGAUAUAUGAUUUUUUUGUAGUAGUUUCAUUUAUUGGUGUGGGCAGAUCACGUGCCGUGGUGAUUGGCAUGAGUUGGGCCUUCUGGGCAUUACAUGAAGAAUUUGCAUCAUAAUCUGUAAUCUUAAGGUUAUUGAAGAUUGAUUUCCUCAUCAUAGAAAGUGAGUUGGCAGAUCUUGUCAAUAUUGAACCAAGUUGUUAGUCUGAAGUCUUUGUUAGUAACACAUGCUUCUUUAUAAGCUGGUGAUGAUCUCUUUGUGGUUUUAUGAACACAUGUUGAUAAUUUUUAUUUUGAUUGUUUACUGCAGGCAAAACUGAUUUUGACUUGUAUUUAUCUUGUAGAGAUAAUUUCUUUGAAAGAAAGUUUUUAUGGCAACUUCUGCAAUUUUGAGUGUGUGUUAAAAUCUCAAUCCUAACGUGUCUACAGGAAGCAGAAUUUUUUUUUGGACUUAUGGAGGAAGUUAGAUUCUGCAAUAAGAUCUCUUUUCCUCCUGUUAGUGUCUGCCUCUGAUGGUUUGAAACUUCAUUGAAAUUCUUUUCCUUUUGUAAUACAGUCUUGUUUAGUUUUGAUCAUUCUGUUUGGGACAACUCAUCUCUUAUUUGUAUGGGUCAGGUAGAUUGACAGUGAUGGUGAUCCAAAUUUGGUUGUGGAGGUAGAAUAAUACUGGUUUUUGCUUUGCCCUGUGAUUGGCAAUAAUUUGGCUUUAUAAUAUAUCCGAUCUGCAUGCUUUUUAAAGACUUGCUGUUCUCUAAAUGCCUGAGAAGUGUAGAUUCCUCUUAUUGGUGUGGGGCAAGUAGAUUGAUGCUGACGCUUUUGUUGCCAAGGGAGAAUUAUAUAGGUUAUUGGUUUGUCCUGUAAUUGCCAUUAGUUGGGGUUUUCUGUUAAUGAAAAAAAUGCUUUUAACUUACGUAUUUGAAUUUUGCAUCAUUAUUCAUAAAAUAUGUUGCUGAUUGAUUUCCAAUUCAAAGAAAAUGAAUGAGCAGAUGCCAUCAAGACUUCUUUAUAAGUUGAUGUUUAUUUUGUGGUUGUGACGACUACUUUCCUAGCUCCUACAAUUGUUUUGUAUGUUGAAACAAAAAUGUUUGAUUAUUUAAACUUUAUAUGUAUGCGGGAGGGGAAAUUGUGAUUUGGGCUUUCUUGUACUUGAGCAACAAAGUCUUUGUAAAAGUCUUGCUUAAAGAUGGUGCUUGAGCUGUGUAAUUGAAUGCGACAAUUGAAAACUCCUUUUUUUCUUUCGUCUUCGUUCUUCUCUUAUUAAUCUUUUGAUAUACUCUUCCUCGAAUGUGUUUACUAUUCCUGGUUGUUCAAUUUGUUUUAUAGAUUUCGGUGCUAGGCUACUUUUCAAGGCAUUUUUUGCAGCAAAUUUGGCAUCUAGAUCGACAGUAAUUUACUCUUUAACUCGCAUUAAAAAAAAGGUAAUU